rnacentral:lncRNA from 1 species
UCAGACAGGGACAUUUAAGUCUGCAGAGGUUACUGCUGUCUUUUUGUUUGUCUGUGCCCUGCCCCCAAAGGUGAAGCCUGCUGCUGCCUUGCAGUUUGAUCUCAGACUGCUGUGCUAGCAAUCAGCGAGACUCCGUGGGCGUCGGACCCUCCGAGCCAGGUGCAGGAUAUAAUCUCCUGGUGCGCCGUUUUUUUAAGCCCGUCGGAAAAGGGCAGUAUCAGGUGGGAGUGACCCGAUUUUCCAGGUGCCGUCUGUCACCUCUUUCUUUGACUAGGAAAGGGAACUCCCUGACCCUUUGCGCUUCCUGAGUGAGGCAAUGCCUCGCCCUGCUUCGGCUCGUGCACGGUGCGCUGUGCCCACUGACCUGCACCCACGGGCACUCCCUAGUGAGAUGAACCCGGUACCUCAGAUGGAAAUGCAGAAAUCACCCGUCUUCUGCGUUGCUCACGCUGGGAGCUGUAGACCGGAGCUGUUCCUAUUCGGCCAUCUUGGCUCCUCCCCGAGACACGGUUUCACUA